rnacentral:tRNA from 1 species
GCUGACGUGGCAUAGUGGUUUGAGCAUUGGACUAUCACUCUGGAGAACAGGGUUUGAAUUCCUGCUCAGUA